UACGAAGGGGGCUAGCGUUGUUCGGAAUUACUGGGCGUAAAGCGUGCGCAGGCGGCUGCUCAAGUCAGGGGUGAAAGCCCAGAGCUCAACUCUGGAAUUGCCUUUGAAACUGAGUGGCUUGAGCACUGUAGAGGCAGGCGGAAUUCCGGGUGUAGCGGUGGAAUGCGUAGAGAUCCGGAAGAACACCGGUGGCGAAGGCGGCCUGCUGGGCAGUUUUGCUGACACUGAGGCGCGACAGCGUGGGGAGCAAACAGG
rnacentral:rRNA from 1 species